UUGCCAUGAUGACUUCCAGUGGGUUUCGCAUAUUGCUGAGCUCCAAUGAUGACUCUUCUCUUGGCUGUCUGAGCAG
rnacentral:snoRNA from 15 species